rnacentral:tRNA from 1 species
UCCCUGGUGGUCCAGGGGUUAAGACUCUGCACUCCCAAAGCAAAGGACCUAGGUUCCCUGGUCAGGGAA